CCCUUCUCUUCAGACCAUUCAGAUCCACACCUACCACCCUUCUCUUCAGACCACUCAGACCCACACCCACCACCCUUCUCUUCAGACCACUCUGACCCACACCUACCACCCUUCUCUUCAGACCACUCAGACCCACACCCACCACCCUUCUCUUCAGACCACUCAGACCCACGCCUACCACCCUUCUCUUCAGACCACUCAGACCCACACCCACCACCCUUCUCUUCAGACCACUCAGACCCACACCUACCACCCUUCUCUUCAGACCUACGGCUGACAUCUUUAGUCUCUCUAUCUCUCUCUCUUUCUUUCUAUCCAUCCUCUUGAUACAGAUCUCUUGAUCCAUCCUCUGGCUGCAUUUUAAGUAAGUGGAGACUUUUUCUCUUUUAAUUCAGCUUUCUUCCCAUUUCUUGUGUUUUCAAAAACAAACCAGGUUGUAGUUUUAAAAUGCAAACCAACUGGAGGAGAUUAUUCAAAAAUGGUAUCUUAAAAUAAGUAACAAAAUCCCACUGGCCCAGGUAUUGUAUCAUCUGUAACCAAAUCCCACUGGCCCAGGUACUGUUUCAUCUGUAACCAAAUCCCACUGGCCCGGGUACUGUUUCAUCUGUAACCAAAUCCCACUGGCCCGGGUACUGUUUCAUCUGUAACCAAAUCCCACUGGCCCGGGUACUGUUUCAUCUGUAACCAAAUCCCACUGGCCCAGGUACUGUUUCAUCUGUCAACUAAUGACACUCAUUGCACUGUGGUCCUGAGACUAUGGCAGGUAGCCUACAUCUAGGUUACAAUAGUAGUCAACAGUUAGUAUGACACAUUACGUUACAGUGUGGCAGGUUAAAGCCUCAGGCUUAGUUUUAUUACUAGACGAGGUCCAUUAUCAGAUCUGACCCAUAUGAUUCAGUCAUUGAAACCCAUGUCACCUUCAAACACAUACACAGCACUUCUUUAGUGGGUUUGAGAAGGUUCAGGGCUUGAUGUUUAAUGUGAGCUCAACGUUAGCUGCUUAGUUGGCCAAACUCUCUUUAUUAAUUGCUAUUGUUAGUAUAGUUUUUAUCUCACAGUCUCUAGUUCUCCUUCUCAAUUCAAGCCCAUUGCCAGAGUGGACCUCCCUGGUGCAUUCCAUCAGUCAAAGUUGUGUAUAGGGCUAUUCUUUCUGACACUUUUGUAUCCACCUUUCAUGCAGAAUGUCUCCUGGCUCCAGCCGUAAGCUGUGUCCUAGUUGUAACACAUCAAUAGGAGUAGCAUCAAAGAAGUGCACGUUCUGUGGUGCAACAAUACAGCUAAAGGUCAAGUUAGAGGCCCAAAAAAGGAAGGCUACAGAUGAAUGGGAAAAUAAGACAAUGAAACAUGGAAGGUAUGCAACCUUGGUUAAUGCAGCAAACAAGCUGGUAAGCUUUAUUAUGUUUUCCUCUAAAAAGAUUUCUGCAUUUCUAGCUUAGGGAUAUGAUACUGUAACGCCCUGGCCAUAGAGAGGGUUUUUUGUUCUUUAUUUUGGUUAGGCCAGGGUGUUACAUUGGG
rnacentral:lncRNA from 1 species